rnacentral:miRNA from 1 species
GGUUUCUCUGUGUAGCCCUGGCUGUCCUGGAACUCACUUUGUAGACCAGGCUGGCCUCGAACUCAGAAACCCACCUGCCCCUGCCUCCCAAGUGCUGGGAUUAAAGGUGUGCGCCACCACCACCCG